GUGCCAGCAGCCGCGGUAAUACGGAGGGGACUAGCGUUGUUCGGAAUUACUGGGCGUAAAGCGCGCGUAGGCGGAUUAGUCAGUCAGAGGUGAAAUCCCGACGCUCAACGUCGGAACUGCCUUUGAUACUGCUAAUCUGGAGUAUAGGAGAGGUGUGUGGAAUUCCGAGUGUAGAGGUGAAAUUCGUAGAUAUUCGGAGGAACACCAGAGGCGAAGGCGACACACUGGCCUAUUACUGACGCUGAGGCGCGAAAGCGUGGGGAGCAAACAGG
rnacentral:rRNA from 1 species